rnacentral:snoRNA from 2 species
AACUUUAUACUUUCGUUCUUCUGAAGUUGCAAUGUGGAAGAACAAUUUGGAGACCUGAACUGA